AAUAGAUACCCGGGUAGUCCACGCCGUAAACGUUGGGCGCUAGAUGUGGGGACCAUUCCACGGUUUCCGCGUCGUAGCUAACGCAUUAAGCGCCCCGCCUGGGGAGUACGGCCGCAAGGCUAAAACUCAAAGGAAUUGACGGGGGCCCGCACAAGCGGCGGAGCAUGCGGAUUAAUUCGAUGCAACGCGAAGAACCUUACCAAGGCUUGACAUAUGCGAGAACGCUCUAGAAAUAGAGAACUCUUUGGACACUCGUAUACAGGUGGUGCAUGGUUGUCGUCAGCUCGUGUCGUGAGAUGUUGGGUUAAGUCCCGCAACGAGCGCAACCCUCGUCGCAUGUUGCCAGCACGUAAUGGUGGGAACUCAUGUGAGACUGCCGGGGUCAACUCGGAGGAAGGUGGGGAUGACGUCAAAUCAUCAUGCCCCUUAUGUCUUGGGCUUCACGCAUGCUACAAUGGCCGGUACAAAGGGCUGCGAAACCGCAAGGUGGAGCGAAUCCCAAAAAGCCGGUCUCAGUUCGGAUUGAGGU
rnacentral:rRNA from 1 species